AAGAGGAAGAAGAAGCACUCAUACCGUCGCUCAGUUCUUUUAUCACCAUGACGUGUACUAUCUUUACCCUCAUUUUGGUCAGCACGAUAUCCUGCCUAUAUUCUGUUCAUGGACAUGUGCUUCUAAAUCACGUUGUCGUGGAGUAUGAAAUCUACACUGAUGCAGUUACUUGGGAUGAAGCAUACAAAGAUGUGAAAG